rnacentral:rRNA from 1 species
UACGUAGGGUGCAAGCGUUGUCCGGAAUUAUUGGGCGUAAAGAGCUUGUAGGCGGUUUGUCGCGUCUGCUGUGAAAUUUCGGGGCUCAACCCCGAACUUGCAGUGGGUACGGGCAGACUAGAGUGUGGUAGGGGAGACUGGAAGUUCCUGGUGUAGCGGUGAAAUGCGCAGAUAUCAGGAGGAACACCGAUGGCGAAGGCAGGUCUCUGGGCCAUAACUGACGCUGAGAAGCGAAAGCAUGGGGAGCGAACAGGA